GGUUAUAGCUCAGUGGUAGAGUGCUUGCCUAGCAUGUGUGAGGCACUGGGUUCUAUCCUCAGCAUCA
rnacentral:tRNA from 1 species